UAAUUUCUGUGAGCCUGUAUAGUCAUGGAUGGAGGAAGUGAUCUUGCCUCGUUCAUCCACUCUUCCAAAACUAAGUGAACUUUAGUCUUUCCUCGAAGUUCUUCAGGAAUCAGGAGUCCAUGACCUGGAGGACUUGAACUACAUGCAAAAGAGUGACCUUCCUCAUGUCCUAAAGCCUGUGGAAGUGAGGAAACAGCUUUCACAUUUCAGAACCAUAAGCCAAAGAGAUGUGUUGGGCAGACCUCCAAGCAACCACCAGUCCUCAAAUACAGCCUGUGACAGUCUUCAAAUAUAGUCAGAUGAGACUUUCUCUUCAGAUGACUCUUCAAGAUAAAUGCAGACAAGGGAUCGAAAGUGGAGAAGAAUGCUUCCAGAAAGCAGCCGGUGGUCAGUCCAAACGUUCUUUCCCUAAUAACAAAAAUUGUGGACUACAAAUGGAGGGAGUAAUAAGAACACUUAUCAGAAGAGAUUGUUGCAUUCCAUUGUUGCUGCAGUUACACAGUUGAGGUGUUUUUUGUUUUUCAAGAUGGGCAUCUGUUUGUAUUUCACUGUAAAUCGUAGUGGCACCUACUGUAAACUGUUCCUGGUUUUAAACAUAAUUUAUCUCUUCACAAGCGGCCAAUUGUUAAGUAUUUUCAUCUGUAUUUUUCAUUUGUUUUGUAAGCAUGAACUUGCAAGAGGGGCAACGUUUUUUCUGUCCUGGUCUGCUGUGAAUUCAACAAAAUUGAAUAAAUGUUGAGAAAUGUGGAGAA